rnacentral:rRNA from 1 species
GACGAACGCUGGCGGCGUGCCUAACACAUGCAAGUCGAGCGAAUGAAAUUCCUUCGGGAAUGGAUUUAGCGGCGGGCGGGUGAGUAACACGUGGGCAACCUGCCUCAUAGAGGGGAAUAGCCUUCCGAAAGGGAGAUUAAUACCGCAUAAGAUUGUAGUAUCGCAUGGUACAGCAAUUAAAGGAGCAAUCCGCUAUGAGAUGGGCCCGCGGCGCAUUAGCUAGUUGGUGAAGUAACGGCUCACCAAGGCGACGAUGCGUAGCCGACCUGAGAGGGUGAUCGGCCACAUUGGGACUGAGACACGGCCCAGACUCCUACGGGAGGCAGCAGUGGGGAAUAUUGCACAAUGGGGGAAACCCUGAUGCAGCAACGCCGCGUGAGUGAUGACGGCCUUCGGGUUGUAAAGCUCUGUCUUCAGGGACGAUAAUGACGGUACCUGAGGAGGAAGCCACGGCUAACUACGUGCCAGCCGCCGCAGUAA